CAAGACCUGCCUAGGAGCCCACUCGCUGAUUGGCUGAGCGGACCGAGAGAAACGCCGAGCUUUGUGAUAGUCUGAGGUCCAUGAAGGGAUUCAAACCAGGAACUGGCUCCUUUUCCAACCACUAAAGCCUCAUCUGGGCCCGCAAGCUCUUGCUGUUCCCUGGAGCGUGACUAGAAGAUGUGAGCAGCUUUGUGCCGGAGCCCCAUUUCCAUGGGUAAAGUGUUCACCUGAUUAAACAGUUCCCCGGAGUUCCACAGUACCACGUAUUUUUUUUCUAGAACUUUGUUUUUAGCUGAAAGGGAUCUUAGAGGCUCUCUGAGGCAAUCCUAUCGCUUUACAGGUGAUAAAACUGAGGCCCAGAGAAGUGAAGUAACUUGCCUAGGCCCACACAGCUCAUCAGUAAAAGAGCCAGAACACAUGGCCAAGGCUUCUCCUUCCUACUCUAGUGUCUCCUCCACACUCUCAGCUCACACCUAGGGCUUGUGCUCAGGUCUUUGCAAGUAAGGCCUGUGACAUUUAAGGAUGUGACCACCUAUCUCCCACCCAUUGUUCUGGUGGCCAUGAGUAGAAGAAGGAAUUGUACCAGGAUGUGACAAGAAGGAAUUAGGAGCUGGGAGUCUUGCUGGGUGAGGACCUUGGCCCCUUGCUUGCUUGCCAUCUAAUGGGGCACUCUUGGCCUGUGGGGUCAGGGAGAACUUACCUAGAGCAUGGUUGUCUCUGUGACUGGUUGAGCCUGUUUUUCCUUCAAGGGCCCCUGGCAGUGGGAAAACAUGACAAUUGCACUGUUUUAUCAGCCCUUGGCACUCCUGUUAUUGCCCUGAAAUAAACAUUCCUACCUGUAUGCCAGGCCCUGCCUGUUUCUGGAGCUUUCUUAGGUUUACAACCUACCCUCACUGUCCCAAAUAGAUGGGGUGAGCCCAGGCAUUAAACGGGUGGUACAAGUCAGGCUUCAGGACUGACAUGGGUCUAUGUGUGCUCAGUGUGGGUUAAGGGGCGCUCGGCUGUCUUUCUCCCUACGGUGCAUGCUGCUACCAAACCAGAGAUCACUUGUAGACUUGAAAGGGAACGUGAGCUUUGGGUGAAGAAUUCCCAGCCCCCAACAGAGGCCAAAAAGCUACCACUCAGCCAGGUAAGUCUUGAUGGAACAUUUCUGGCACAAAGGUAACCAUAUCCAUUGAGCCUUUAGUGCCUCCUGGGUUCUAGCACUUCUGUGGUUUGGAUUCAGGUUUUGUACUUCUCUGUUUCCCGCCGUUAGGACAGGAGCUUGGGUAACCUGUGAGAAACACGGCCACAGUGUAAACCUCUGGAGACAAGCUACACUGAGGGGACAAUCUGGGUGAGGGUAAUCCGGUGCCGUGGCUGUGUGAGCUCACGUGUGCUCUUUCAGGAGGACAUGUCUCACAGCCACAGAUCUUCAGCUCUGACAUGCUCAAUCUCACAAGCCCUUUUCUGAAACCUCCAUCAUGUGCUUUCUGAUUCUCUACAGGAAGAAGGAAAAUAAAGUAUGCAUUUUAUGACACAACCCAGCUUGCAGGGAUGAAGUAGAAGGUCCUCACUGUACCUCAUGGCAGGCUGCUGACGGCAGAUAUUUAACCUGGCUCACUGAACUGGGCAGUCAGGGAAGGGUUGGCUCCUGCUCUGUCCAGCUCUCUUCAUAAGGGACUCUGUGAUACUUUUUAUAAAAAUGACUUUGAUUUCUGCAUAAGAAGGCUUGCCAAGCUUGCUGUCCAGCAGUGGCUGCUGCAGGGAAUUAUUCAGAUGGCAGCAAGAGAACCCUGGCUCCCUGGACCGGGACAUUCCCUUCACAUGUGUUGGAAUGAGAGCAGGAAGAAUGCUGGUCGGAAGUCCCUACCCAGGGCUCUGGGACUUCAGUGUUCUCAGACCAACUGGGCCACUCCUCUGAGUUGGGAUGCUGACCCACACUUGGCCCUGGCUGCGGCAUCCACAGGACGCUGCCCUUAGCUGUCAUCUCGUUGGGGCUGGGGGCUGAGCAGGUCACACCGAACAAAAGGAGUGUGUCCCCAUCACUAAGCUAACAUCUGAGUUCUCUUCCACAGAAUUUGGUAACAAUGUCAGAAACGAGACUGAAGAUGAUUCUGGAGGCAACUGGGAACCUCCCAGAAUGAUUCUGCAGGCUUCUGGGAAGCUGGAAAACCCCAAGGCCAGACUGGCCUCUGAGAAUGCCCAAGUCCUUUAGAUUCCACUGGAAAAGCCAUCCGUCUGUGCCAAGUGUGUGGAGAGCUUCAAGAGCCAUACAGCCCUGGCCAUCCAUGAGCACAUCCAUGUAGGGGAGUAGCCCUGAAAGUGUCCUAGUGUGGCAAAGGCUUCCCACUAAGUGGACUUCAGAUGGCACAGGAAGACCCUCCUGGGGAUGUGGGAGGACACUGCCUAGGCGGUGAGGGGCCGCUUUUUCAGGUGUGCACAUUAAAUGCAGACACAGCCUCUCUUGGCUGCCAAGAAGCCUGUGCAGGGCCCAGGACCACGGAACACUUGCAAACUGUCACUACCCAGAGGCCUGCGCCUGUCUGGAGUGUGCCCAGUGUGUCUGUGCCUCUCAGCUUCUCUGGGCUCACCAGCACAACCGCAGCACUGCAGGGCCCUUCUGUUGCUGUGAGUGCCAGGGCACUUGCUGGCUGCCUGAGCAAGGCAAAAGGUUCAAAACAGGAAGUCUCUGGGCAGCUAUUCCCAGGUGUAGAGGGGAGCAGUGGCCACGCGGGUGCCAGUGUGGCAGGAGCUGCAGUCAGAGGCAGCAUCUCCAGAGCCCUGGGAGCAGAGGCCAGCCACAUGAAGCCCACGAGUGUCGCUGGCAUGGGAAAGGGACAUGAGGAUCACACUGACCCAAGAGAAGGCCCACAGUGAGGAGGCCCCACCGAAGCGUCCCCAGCAACAGGGGCUGAGGCAUCUGAGGCAGCCAGCCCACUUGGAAAGGCCUGCUGACUGCACUCCGGAUGUCAAGAGGACCCUUGGGAAAAAGAAAGGCAGGAGUGCAGCACCUUCCAGAGCCUCAGCUCGCUUCUCUCCUUCUAGCUCCGGCUGGAGUGAUGGAAGAGGCUGCGCUGGGAGCUACCUCCCUGGGAGCCUACCCUGCCCAGCCUGAGCGUGGAGGCUACCAGCAUUGCGCUUCCCCUAGUGAAAUCCAUCUUCCCAAAGGAACCCUGGGAAGGGGUCAGGGAGACCCUGUUCACCCCCACCACGGGGUCAGGUCUUCACCGCAUAGAGGCCGCAUGGAUUCCCAGUCACAAACCCAAAGCCUUGCUGCCUGUGCCUCUGCUUCGAUAGUUGUUUUAAUGUCUUUUUUAAAAAAUCACAUACACUCAAGUAAGAUUGAGUCUCCUCACCGAAGAGACGUGGCUGUAUCCCGAGUCUCUGAAGCCUUUGCUGCAGUCCCGUGGGAGCAUGCCGCCAGAGGAUGUGGAGCCGCAAGGGCUAGCCAGAGGGAUCUCAGGAGUUAGGCCUCAAGGAGCGCUGUUGAGUGACAGGUCUGAUGCAGCAGCUUUUACUACUGGUGGAAAUCGAUGUUUUUUCCUUCAAAGUCUAACUUUUUAAUUUCAGUAAACCAAAUUAGAUCAUGUAUGUGAAAGCACUUUGUAAACUAUACAGUACUCCAGAAAAGGGAGCCAAGCCCUUAAUUAUAACUCACCAAACAGCCAA